rnacentral:lncRNA from 1 species
CACCAAACCUCAGUAUUUAAUACUGGGUCCUUCACAGCACGUGUAACACGCGCGAAAACCCCUCUACGUACGAUCUCACACAAAACGGUACAUAAAAUGUCACAACUUUUAUGAAAAUACCGUUUUGCCAUCACCGACCACUCCUCGAUCAACGCGUAAUCUCCGCAGAUCCGUCGGUCGGAUUUGCGAACGGAUUGCACCAGUACGAUCAGCACGACGGGGACAACAAAGCUACUAUUUCAUUUCAUCUCGAUCGAUCGCAGAUUCGCGACGAAAUCUGUUCUCUCUCCAAUAGAAGAAAAUACAUUCAAAUACAUAUAAAGCAUGUAUUUUCAGAUUUUCUCGAAAUCCGUGCGUCAAACUCAAAAUCUGUCAGCGCCAUUAGUUCCAAAAUAACCG